UUUUGCUGCAUAACUAGGGAUCGUAUACAUACAAAAUGAGACAAAACAAUUUCUAAUUAGUUUCUAAUUAUAAGAUAUGACACGUUUUAAGGUAUGGUGGCCAAUACUGAUUUUAUUUGCAAUUUUCUUUCAGAUAUGGGACCCUAUUAUUCGGAGAACUUCAGAUUUUAUGAAGCUGUCUUUGACAGAAGAUUUGGUUUUCUCCAUCUGUGUUGCCACCAACCAUUAUGCUGAGAUGGUCAUAUCUAGGGGGAAGGGUUGCCAUAUACUUCCCAAGGAAGUUUGCAGCCUCUCACUGAAGAGGAACUGUACAGAUUUUUGUGCAUUAUCUUAUACACGCCUGCUGUGAAGUUCCAGUCGAUAGACAGAUAUAGGUCAACGCAUGCCACUGUCGGAACAACUCAUUAUCAAGAAUUAUGUCUAGAAAUAGGUUUCAAGAGGUUGAAUACAAGAACAUUUUUGUUAAAUAUGAUGCAAGUACAUUUAAAUCUAGUGAUUGAAAGCAAGUACCUGAACAUUCGUAUAUGUUGAACUUGGAGAGGAAAAAUGGUUAGUACUUUUUGAUAACAUUUGAUAAGGUGUUGUUGCUUAGCAACCAAAUAUAAUUGAAUAAAAAAAAAUAGAUUGUUUUAGAUUAACAAUAAUUGAAAGAUCUUUGUUUUAAUGUUGCAAUACUUAUUCUAUUUAAUGGAACAUAAUGGCAAAACGUCAUAUUAUUAGAAAAUGAUGGACAAGUAUAUAAAGUACGAAGUUUCCAUUUGAUGACCUUUGACCUUAAUUCUCUUCAUCAUAUUAUUGUUAAAAACCUUUUAAAAUGAUUAAGAUCUAUUUAAAGAUUAUAUUUUUAAAAUAAUGUGACAUUUACUAAUCAUCAUGGAUUGUAAUUACGUUUAAAUUGUGUUGAAUGGAUGCAGAAAGGCAAAUUAUGGUCAAAAUUGUACUAUGAGUGUUGUUACUUAGCAACC